rnacentral:rRNA from 1 species
AGUGAACGCUGGCGGUAGGCCUAACACAUGCAAGUCGAACGGCAGCACAGUAAGAGCUUGCUCUUACGGGUGGCGAGUGGCGGACGGGUGAGGAAUACAUCGGAAUCUACUUUUUCGUGGGGGAUAACGUAGGGAAACUUACGCUAAUACCGCAUACGACCUACGGGUGAAAGCAGGGGAUCUUCGGACCUUGCGCGAUUGAAUGAGCCGAUGUCGGAUUAGCUAGUUGGCGGGGUAAAGGCCCACCAAGGCGACGAUCCGUAGCUGGUCUGAGAGGAUGAUCAGCCACACUGGAAAUGAGACACGGUCCAGACUCCUACGGGAGGCAGCAGUGGGGAAUAUUGGACAAUGGGCGCAAGCCUGAUCCAGCCAUACCGCGUGGGUGAAGAAGGCCUUCGGGUUGUAAAGCCCUUUUGUUGGGAAAGAAAAGCAGCAGGGUAAUACCCCGCUGUUCUGACGGUACCCAAAGAAAAAGCACCGGCUAACUUCGUG